GAUGAACGCUAGCGGCAGGCCUAAUACAUGCAAGUCGAGGGGUAUCCCGCUUUCGGGCGGGAGAGACCGGCGCACGGGUGCGUAACGCGUAUGCAACCUACCCAUAUCUGGGGGAUAGCCCGGAGAAAUCCGGAUUAACACCGCAUAAAAUCACAGUACGGCAUCGUACAAUGAUCAAAUACUGAUAGGAUAUGGAUGGGCAUGCGUGUCAUUAGCUGGUUGGCGGGGUAACGGCCCACCAAGGCGACGAUGACUAGGGGAUCUGAGAGGAUGGCCCCCCACACUGGUACUGAGACACGGACCAGACUCCUACGGGAGGCAGCAGUAAGGAAUAUUGGUCAAUGGGCGGAAGCCUGAACCAGCCAUGCCGCGUGCAGGAAGACGGCCCUCUGGGUUGUAAACUGCUUUUAUUCGGGAAUAAACCUGCAUACGUGUAUGCAGCUGAACGUACCGAAGGAAUAAGGAUCGGCUAACUCCGUGCCAGCAGCCGCGGUAA
rnacentral:rRNA from 1 species